UCUAGUGAGGUCACGAUACAACCAGAAAAGAAUGAGAGUUUGCGGAGAGGGCAGCACUAGCACAAAUACCAGAACUGAAUUAGACAAGUACCUAGCUGAGGACACAGAAGGGUUGACUGCUGAAUUUGACCUUCUUGAAUGGUGGAAGUGCAAUGCUCCUCGCUUUCCCGUUCUUUCAAAAUGGCUCGUGAUAUACUAGCAAUCCCCAUCUCUACGGUUGCUUCUGAAUCAGCUUUCAGCACUAGUGGUCGUAUUCUCGAUGACUUCAGAAGCUCUUUAACACCAGCGACACUGCAGUCAUUGAUAUGCACACAAGAUUGGUUGCGUUCUAAGUGUAUCAAUGUUGAAGCUGAUCUUGCUGAGUUGACCAGGCUGGAGGAAGAAGUGGGUGCCAUUCAUUUAAAUGAUAAUGUGACAAUAUCGAUUGAUUGAUCUUCAUGCGUGGAGCCGGAGUGGAAAAUUGCUGCCUGAAGCCUUGAAGUGAUGAAACAAAUGUCAUUUUAUCUCGAUCUGCACCUUUUGUUUGUGUGUGUGUGUUGCACAUGUACUGUACUACGCUGAACUUUGGUUGUUCCAGAAUUUGCACUUUGUACUGAAGUUUGUUAUUUUGAUGUAUUCCAGAAUUUCAUGUGUGCUUGUACUGGGCAUGUUUAGUUCUGCUUGUGCUUGUACUGGACAAGUUUUUGUUCCAGAAUUUCUUCCUGUGGUUUCACUUGACAUGUACUAAAUUAGUGCUUGUAGUUGUACUCGUAGUCUUCUACUAGAUUGUUGUACUGGAACAUAAAUUCUUCAUGUUUCAGAAUUUCUUCAAGUAGGUAACCAGGUUGUAGUUGUAUUGGACAAGUACUAAAUUUGUUUUUCCAUGUGGCCAAACCAUGUGUUGAUUAAAAA